GAUGAAGAACGCAGCGAAAUGCGAUAAGUAGUGUGAAUUGCAGAAUUCAGUGAAUCAUCGAAUCUUUGAACGCACAUUGCGCCCCUUGGUAUCCCGAGGGGCAUGCCUGUUCGAGCGUUAUUUCACCACUCAAGCCUGGCUUGGUGUUGGGCGACGUCCCCUUUGGGGACGCGCCUCGAAACGCUCGGCGGCGUGGCACCGGCUUUAAGCGUAGCAGAAUCUUUCGCUUUGGAAGUCGGGGCCCCGUCUGCCGGAAGACCUACUCGCAAGGUUGACCUCGGAUCAGGCAGGGAUACCCGCUGAACUUAAGCAUAUCAAUAAGCGGAGGA
rnacentral:misc_RNA from 1 species